AACCUAGCACACCUGCGGUGUGUACCUGCGGAAGGAUCAUUAAACAACUAGGCCGUAACAAGCCUUGAACCCUUCUCUACGCGCACCCUUACCUUCUCCUUCGGCGGGUCAGCGCCCGCCGUCGGAACCAACAAACCCCCUUUUGCAUCUAGCAUACCACCCGUUCCGAUACAAAACACAAUCGUUACAACUUUCAACAACGGAUCU
rnacentral:misc_RNA from 1 species